UUUUUGUAAUUUUCGUGUCUUCGAAACUUUGAAAUGAACAAUAAACAGGGGUUGUGCAAGCAGAACAAAGCACGUGGAGGCUCCCCGUUUUUGCUCAAAUUUCCGGUAGGUUUCCGGCUUCUCCAGCCACCAUGGCAGGUCAUAAAUCAUCGAAAACUGCUCCAAAUCUUCAUGUAAAUCCCAUAUCGAGCUCAAGGUAGCAUCCCUAUGCACCUUUACAACUGCGCAGGCAUCAGUUAUAUUGCUAGCGUGAUAGGGAUGCAUUUAUACAUGGAUAAGGGAACUGCUCAACAAACUCAUUUGGACUUUCCUAAAGUACGUGUUGAGAUAGAUUUUGAGGAUGAGAUACCUGCAGAUAUUGUGUUAGAUUGCGGUGAUGAUUUUGUAGUUGGAAUAUCUGUGAGCAUCCCAUGGGUUCUCGAAAAGUGCUCGAAGUGUCGAGUGUUUGGGCACAAUUGCUCUUCAAAGGAGAGAGAAGACAACGAUGAAGUCUCAGAAGAAACAUAAAACGGUGUUGUUCAAUCGAUAAAGGAAGACGCUGAAGUGACAACAUCACCUCAGGAGUUGGCCCCCCAGCACCUGGGCGAGCCUGUAAAUAAUUCUGUGGAGACUAUCUCUAGAGCUGAGGCUUCCGAUAGCUCUGGCAAGAAACCUGUGACUAAUGCAACUAUCGGUAGUUCCAAGAAGAAAGUACAUGUCGUCGAGGAUGAACAAGUACUAUCUCCUAAUAGAUUCGAAGCUUUAGUGGAAGAGGGGUUAAACACAAAUCCGAGGAUGCAUCAGUUACGGGGAAAGUUACUGAAGAAGAAGUUGUUAUUCCUGACAGUCCAAAAAGAACUCGAUCGGCAGCUGAGGGAGUCUCUGAAGCAGUUCAGAAAGCCCAAGGAAGCAGGCGGGGAAGGAAGAACAAGAAUGGUAGGGGUACGGAAUGUCCUUCCUCGUCAAAUGAUAAUAUCUAGUUGUAACGUUAGGGGCCUCUAUUUCCCUUUAAAACAGAGAGCCCUGAAGGGUGAUGGGUGUUCUGGAAACUAGAGUCAAGAAACACAAAAUGAUUGAUAUUUUUAAGAAAUGGGGUGACUGGAAUCAUGACGACAACUAUGCUUUUGCGAGAAUGGUAGGAUUUGGAAAAUGUGGAGGAUUGGUGUCUCUUUGAAGGUGUUGAAGAAGUCUGAUCAGCUCAUCCAUUGUCACUAGCAAGAAGUGGAUAUCUUCUUAACUUUUGUUUAUGCCUCGAAUCAACAGUAGGAGAGAGUGAGGCUAUGGCAUGAGCUAAGGAGUAUUAGUUGCUCCGUAAAUAAACCUUGGGCUCUUAUGGGAGACUUUAAUGCAGUGGGAAGCCCUGAGGAAAUCCGCUUCCCCGAUAGGAUGGCUGAUAAAGAUACUGGGGAUGACACAAUUCGAUGAUUGCUUAAAUGCUCUAAAGCUAUCUGACCAUCCUUAUUCUGGGAGUUACUUCACUUGGAACAACAAAAGGACUAUUGGAAUUCAAAAAAGAAAGCUAGAUAGAAUCCUAGUUAACGAGGAAUGGAUAUAUAAGGAUCCAUUCUCUUCUGCUGAAUUCUUACCUGCGGGGGUGUCUGAUCAUUGUUCGGCUCUUCUCAAGGUUUCCAAGGAUGAAACCUCAGGUCCCAAGCCUUUCAAAUUUUAUAACUAUCGGUGCGAUCAUCCCAAUUUUUGCAGGUAGUUUAGGAAGUCUGGGACUCAACUGAUAAGGCCUUGGAAGGUGAUUUGAAGCAACUACAGGAUGAAUUGAAUUCUUUGCAAGCUAUUGUCCUCUCGGGCAACGUGGAUGAGGAACUUUUAAUGGCAGAAAAAGAGAAGAAAAAGCAAUUGAUGGACAAGUUCGCGAUGGAGGAAGCGAUAUUAAGACAAAAAUCUAGAAUCUAAUAGCUCUAGUUGGGAGAUCAGAAUAACUCGUUCUUUCACAAAACUGUGAAGAUUAGGAAUUCCAACACUAUCAGGCUUCCUUACACUACUGAAGGAGUGAAGCUCGAUAAGAUCUCGGAUAUUAAAUGCGAAGCUGUGAAUUUCUUACAGGGACUUCUAGGUUCUUUAGAUGCUAAUGUUCACUCUAUUGUGGCUCACCUUAGAGGAAUCUUGCAGCAUUUUCUCGAUGACUCUCAAAAAGAGCUUCUUGUUGCUUUGAUUUCUUCUCAUGAGAUUAAGUCUACAUUAUUCUCAUUGACAGGAAACAAAUGUCCAGGCCCUGAUGGAUAUACCUCCCAAUUUUAAAGUCUCGUGGUAGAUGGUUGGUGAUUAUGUGCUCAAGGCUAUCCAUCACUUCCUUAACUUUGGACACUUUCUGCGACAGGGAAAAUGGGAUAUCAUCCACAUUGCAAGGGUGUUCAGCAGACUCAUCCAUGUUUCGUUGACAAUCUCCUUAUAUUCACCGAUGGUUCCAUUUUUUCUUUUGAAGCUCUAAUGCAAGUUCUAGAGAACUUCUAUUCUUUGUCUGGUUUGAGGUUAAAUGCAAAAAAAAACCGAGUGGAGAAGCUUCUAUUGAUGACAGGAUUCAAAAAAGGCACCCUCCCAGUAAGAUAUCUCGAUCUUUCCCUUAUUUAUGGACGCCUCUCUACUAAGGACUGUGAAUCAUUGACUGAUAAAAUAACUAGCAAAAUCAGAAGUUGGUCCUCCAGAUAUUUGUCAUAUUUCGGGCGUCUCCAACUCUUCAACUUCGUUUUAUUCAGUACGGCGAACUUUCGGUGUGCUAACUUUAUUCUUCCCAAGAAAGUAAUCAAAACGGUACAACAAAAGUGUUGUUCUUUUC